GAAAAAUUCGAAGUGCGUAGUGCGCAUGUCGGGGUCAGAAGUCAGAACGUUCCAUCGUGUGUUAACCAGAUAAUUUGUCGUCAACAUGCCUACUUGUUGUGUCGUGGAUUGUGCAAAUCGCACCAGUUGUGGAGUCAAGUUUUUCAGGAUUCCUGCAGGAUCUCAUCCUUUUCAAAAAAAAUAGACGUCAUCUGUGGCUGCAAGCAAUUAAACGGGCAGACUGGGACAAUGCUACGAUCCAAGAGGCUCGUGUUUGUAGUGCUCACUUCAUAUCAGGAGAGGCAUCACUUGACUCCAGUAGUCCUGACUUGUGCCCUCCUUGUUUGUGUACAAAAAACAAAGCCAGACACCUAAGACAAAAAUGGAAAGGUAUCUGAGGAAAAGGAAGAGAGAUGAACGCCCUGACAUGCAACCUGCUUCUUUCCAGACUGACACAUAACUUUCCUUUAUCAGCAGAAGAUCCACAUAUGCCUCAUGCUAGAAUCCACUGACUAUAAAUGUACUCUAUAUGACCUGUGCAGUUUAUUCCAAGUCUUCAGUUAAUUAUCCUGUAGUUUUUGGUUAGACAUUUUUAGAUAAUAAAAAUUAUACACGGCAGAUCAUUUUAAUUGAAAAUGUUCUCUUAUUUUUCAGAUACUUUAUUAGAAUAAAUCCGUAAAAGAGGACCAAAGCUGCAAGGAGAAAAGAGGUGUGUAAAAUAACUGGGGAAACUGUGCAGAAAAAGACUUUAACCAUCAGUCCAAAAGUAUCAAAUGCUGAUAUAUAUAUUAUAAACUAUUUGUUUUGAUAUAAAAUAAUAGGCUAGUGUUCACUGAAACCUGACUUGAGAGUAUAUUUGUAUUUUAUGAACAGUUAAGAUAUGUAUGUAUGUAAUUAUGUAUACCUGCAAGGCAUAUUGUAAAAGUCUAUCUAGUGUUGUAU